UUACACGUAGACAAGUUGACCAUU
rnacentral:miRNA from 1 species